rnacentral:rRNA from 1 species
ACGGGUGAGUAACACGUGGGCAACCUGCCCCUUAGACUGGGAUAACUCCGGGAAACCGGAGCUAAUUCCGGAUAAUCCCUUUUUCCACCUGGAGAGAGGGUGAAAGAUGGCUUCGGCUAUCACUAGGGGAUGGGCCCGCGGCGCAUUAGCUAGUUGGUAAGGUAACGGCUUACCAAGGCAACGAUGCGUAGCCGACCUGAGAGGGUGAUCGGCCACACUAGGACUGAGACACGGCCCAGACUCCUACGGGAGGCAGCAGUAGGGAAUCUUCCGCAAUGGACGAAAGUCUGACGGAGCAACGCCGCGUGAGUGAGGAAGGCCUUCGGGUCGUAAAGCUCUGUUGUGAGGGAAGAAGCGGUACCGUUCGAAUAGGGCGGUACCUUGACGGUACCUCACCAGAAAGCCACGGCUAACUACGUGCCAGCAGCCGCGGUAAUACGUAGGUGGCAAGCGUUGUCCGGAAUUAUUGGGCGUAAAGCGCGCGCAGGCGGCUUCUUAAGUCUGAUGUGAAAUCUCGGGGCUCAACCCCGAGCGGCCAUUGGAAACUGGGGAGCUUGAGUGCAGAAGAGGAGAGUGGAA